rnacentral:rRNA from 1 species
CACGUAGGGGACGAGCGUUGUCCGGAUUCAUUGGGCGUAAAGCGCGCGUAGGCGGCUCGGAAAGUCGGGCGUGAAAUGCCGGGGCUCAACCCCGGGACUGCCUUUGAUACUGGGGAUCUCGAGUCCGGAAGAGGUGAGUGGAACUCCGAGUGUAGAGGUGAAAUUCGUAGAUAUUCGGAAGAACACCAGUGGCGAAGGCGGCUCACUGGUCCGGUACUGACGCUGAGGUGCGAAGGCGUGGGGAGCAAACAGG